CAAGAGGCUAACUCUGUAAACCGCUUAAAGUGGGCUGUGUAAAGCACUAUGAAGGCGGUAUAUAAGUCUAAGUGCUAUUGCUACUGUCAUGCACUCCAGUCACCUUGUUAGUCACCUCUUGUUUAUCUGUUCCUUAGAAUGUUCAUGCAGAAUUUUGAUGGGAAAGCCAGAGUGCUGACUGAUAAGGAGACUUUGGAGUUUCUGAAAGCAGGUGACACCGAUGGAGAUGGCAAAAUUGGCGUGGAUGAGUUUGUAGUCCUGGUUUCAAAGUGUUAAAGCGAUUCAAGGGAAGACCAAGCCAAUUGUAUUGUACAACAUCCUUUCUUAUUGCAAGUCAACUAUUUAUUUAUACAUUUUAUACAGUGAAACAGCAUUGACAGUGGCCAGCAAGUUGUUUCUUACUAUUUGGGAACUGUGUUAACUCCCAAUGCACUGUUCGACCUUUAUUAUUGUCCAUUGUUGUAAAAUUCAUAAUUAAAAGGGCUUUCUACAUCAAAAAGCAGGACAGAGUCGGGGCCCAAAGGAAAAGAAAUUGGAUAUUUCCUUUUGUUGGUAGGGUCUAUUUAAGACGACUCAGUGAGGGGAGCUUUCUAAGAAAUUGCAUCAAGAGUUAACCAAGCGACCGCCUUCCUUCCCAGCCUAGUAUAUGACAUGAUAUUGGAAAAACAGUUAAAUAAGAAAUCUUUGCCUUACCUAACCAGGUUCACAAAACCCUUUACUAGUCAUACCCGUGGAAUUGUCCAUUCAUCCAUAUAAAGUGACUUCACCAUUCACAG